rnacentral:sRNA from 1 species
ACUCAACGUUAAUUCUUUAAAAAGGGUGAGUUUAAAUUGUAAAAGCAUGCUGCUAAUACGUUAAGUAUUUGGGCAGAUCCUUGAUCAAUUUGUUAGCCCUAAACUUGUUUUUAAGGAGUUU